GAGUUUGAUCCUGGCUCAGGAUGAACGCUAGCGGCAGGCCUAAUACAUGCAAGUCGAGGGGCAGCACGGUAGCAAUACUGGUGGCGACCGGCGCACGGGUGCGUAACGCGUAUGCAACUUACCCUUUACAGGGAGAUAGCCCGGAGAAAUUCGGAUUAAUACCCCAUAGUAUAUUUAGAAGGCAUCUUUUAGAUAUUAAAGAUUUAUCGGUAGAGGAUGGGCAUGCGUGUCAUUAGCUAGUUGGUGAGGUAAUGGCUCACCAAGGCGACGAUGACUAGGGGUACUGAGAGGUUACACCCCCACACUGGUACUGAGACACGGACCAGACUCCUACGGGAGGCAGCAGUAAGGAAUAUUGGACAAUGGGCGAGAGCCUGAUCCAGCCAUGCCGCGUGCAGGAUGACGGUCCUAUGGAUUGUAAACUGCUUUUGUAUGGGAAUAAACCCAGGUACGUGUACCUGGCUGAAUGUACCAUAAGAAUAAGGAUCGGCUAACUCCGUGCCAGCA
rnacentral:rRNA from 1 species